UACGAGGGGGGGCGAGCGUUGUUCGGAAUUAUUGGGCGUAAAGGGCGCGUAGGCGGGUCGUUUAGUUAGAGGUGAAAGCCCAGGGCUCAACCCCUGGAAUUGCUUUUAAUACUGGCGGCCUUGAGUAUGGCAGAGGUGUGUGGAACUCCGAGUGUAGAGGUGAAAUUCGUAGAUAUUCGGACAAAGAACCACCAUGGUGGC
rnacentral:rRNA from 1 species